UGGGGAAUAUUGCACAAUGGGCGCAAGCCUGAUGCAGCAACGCCGCGUGAGGGACGACGGCCUUCGGGUUGUAAACCUCUUUUAGUAGGGAAGAAGCGAAAGUGACGGUACCUGCAGAAAAAGCACCGGCUAACUACGUGCCAGCAGCCGCGGUAAUACGUAGGGUGCGAGCGUUGUCCGGAAUUAUUGGGCGUAAAGAGCUCGUAGGCGGUCUGUCGCGUCUGCUGUGAAAACCCGAGGCUCAACCUCGGGCCUGCAGUGGGUACGGGCAGACUAGAGUGCGGUAGGGGAGAAUGGAAUUCCUGGUGUAGCGGUGGAAUGCGCAGAUAUCAGGAGGAACACCGAUGGCGAAGGCAGUUCUCUGGGCCGUAACUGACGCUGAGGAGCGAAAGCGUGGGGAGCGAACAGGAUUAGAUACCCUGGUAGUCCACGCCGUAAACGUUGGGCGCUAGAUGUGGGGCACCAUUCCACGGUUUCCGUGUCGCAGCUAACGCAUUAAGCGCCCCGCCUGGGGAGUACGGCCGCAAGGCUAAAA
rnacentral:rRNA from 1 species